CUCAGCCAUUCAUCUUCUUCAUUCCCGACCUCACUCACCCAAGCACCUUCCCCUCCCUCAAAAUCAAAUCAAUAAGAAACCCACUAGACCAAGCCACCAUCACCACAUUUUUCCCUAUUUUUUCUUUUUUCCACCAUCUCCCCACCAGCCAUCAAAUUUGGUUCUGAUUAGUAGAUUGUAUAGUUUUUUGGGAGCCAUUUUGCAAUGCGAUUUUGGCUCCUUCUUUCAAACGGGCUUGUCGACAUAGUGGUUUAAAGGAAAGAGCUAAAGUUCAAGAAGAUUUGUUACAUUAAAACAAAUUGUUAAUUGCAGAUGUAUUGAGAAAUUUUUUGAUUGAGAUUUUGAUUUUGAUUUUUGAUUGGGAUUUUUGGUGAGGAGUUUGGAUUUGGGAUUUUGAUUAUGGAUCUGCGUAGAAUUGAAUUGUAUCGUCGUUGAUAGAGGAGUUUUCGCUAGAGGGGUUCUAUGUCUUCUUGAAGUUCUGCAACUGAGCAAGAAUUGGGGAAGAAGGUGGUGAUAAUAGCUGGUGAUGCAACCAAAAAUUGCACCUGGUAGAUCUCGAACUUGCUGCUUGAAUACUGAGUUAGGGGACUGUUAAAGAACACGAACAGGGCCUUUCAGGACCUGAAACAAAGGCAACAAGGUGUGUCCUCGUUGCUUCCCGAUGCUUAAGUUAGACAAGGAAUUUGUAUGAGAAUAUAUGUCGAAAUUGUAUGUAAAACAUAUCUGAAUAAUAAACCUGGAUCUUCUAUUUAUAGAUAUUGGUGGUAGAGUUGUAAAAAAAUUCAACCACCAACAUCCUUAUCCUUAUUAUA